rnacentral:rRNA from 1 species
GACGAACGCUGGCGGCGUGCUUAACACAUGCAAGUCGAACGAUGAAAGAGGAGCUUGCUCCUCUGGCUUAGUGGCGAACGGGUGCGUAACACGUGAGCAAUCUGCUCUUGACUCUGGAAUAACUACGGGAAACUGUAGCUAAUAUAGGACAUGAGACGACCUGGCAUUUGAAUCGGUGGGAAAGAAUUCCGGUCAGGGAUGAGCUCGCGGCCUAUCAGCUUGUUGGUGAGGUAACGGCUCACCAAGGCGACGACUGGUCGCCGGCCUGGGAGGGGGACCGGCCACAAUAGGACUGAGACACGGCGCAGUGUGCUACGUUAGGCAGCAGGGGGGAAUAUGGCACAAUGGGCGCAAGCCUGAUACAGCAACGCCGCGUUAGGGAUGACGGCCUUCGGGUUGUAAACCUCUUUUAGCAGAGAAGAAGCUAAAGUGACGGUACCUGCAGAAAAAGCGCCGGCUAACUACGUG